GCUCACAUGCAGUCGAGCGGUAACAGAGAGUAGCUUGCUACUUUGCUGACGAGCGGCGGACGGGUGAGUAAUGCUUGGGAACAUGCCUUGAGGUGGGGGACAACAGUUGGAAACGACUGCUAAUACCGCAUAAUGUCUACGGACCAAAGGGGGCUUCGGCUCUCGCCUUUAGAUUGGCCCAAGUGGGAUUAGCUAGUUGGUGAGGUAAUGGCUCACCAAGGCGACGAUCCCUAGCUGGUUUGAGAGGAUGAUCAGCCACACUGGGACUGAGACACGGCCCAGACUCCUACGGGAGGCAGCAGUGGGGAAUAUUGCACAAUGGGCGCAAGCCUGAUGCAGCCAUGCCGCGUGUGUGAAGAAGGCCUUCGGGUUGUAAAGCACUUUCAGUCAGGAGGAAAGGUUAACGGUUAAUACCCGUUAGCUGUGACGUUACUGACAGAAGAAGCACCGGCUAACUCCGUGCCAGCAGCCGCGGUAAUACGGAGGGUGCGAGCGUUAAUCGGAAUUACUGGGCGUAAAGCGUACGCAGGCGGUUUGUUAAGCGAGAUGUGAAAGCCCCGGGCUCAACCUGGGAACUGCAUUUCGAACUGGCAAACUAGAGUGUGAUAGAGGGUGGUA
rnacentral:rRNA from 1 species